rnacentral:misc_RNA from 1 species
AUCGCGUGAUGCAMCCGUAGGGAAUCCACCACAACCGAUACGAUCGUCGUUCGCACGUAGCGUCGAACGCGAGGGGCAAAUAGAGGCCGAGGCCUCGUGCCCACAACAUAUACCGCGUCCGAGAUUUCGAGCAUUACGCCUUGGUUGGGCUACUAGAACGCAUGCACACACGCCCUCGAGUGCCAGCCACGACGCAUGCUAUGAGUUCCAAUCCGCACCACGACACCAAUGGGCGACGCAUGGCAGAAUGAAAAUGGGAUUAUUUUGUCAUCGUCAUGCCUUAGAGAUAGGUAUCUAGCACAGGAGGCCGCAAUCGGACAAGGCAUGGGAGUUCCUGCGCCGAUGAUUGAAGAGGCUAGGU